rnacentral:rRNA from 1 species
UACGGGGGGUGCGAGCGUUGUCCGGAAUCACUGGGCGUAAAGAGCUCGUAGGCGGUUUGUCGCGUCUGCCGUGAAAGUCCGGGGCUCAACUCCGGAUCUGCGGUGGGUACGGGCAGACUAGAGUGAUGUAGGGGAGACUGGAAUUCCUGGUGUAGCGGUGAAAUGCGCAGAUAUCAGGAGGAACACCGAUGGCGAAGGCAGGUCUCUGGGCAUUAACUGACGCUGAGGAGCGAAAGCAUGGGGAGCGAACAGG